GGUGCUGCAUGGCUGUCGUCAGCUCGUGUCGUGAGAUGUUCGGUUAAGUCCGCUAACGAGCGCAACCCUCGCUGUGUGUUACAAGUGUCACACGGAACUGCCGGUCAUAAACCGGAGGAAGGUGGGGAUGACGUCAAGUCAGCAUGGCCUUUAUAUCCUGGGCUACACACACGCUACAAUGGGAAGGGACAAUAGGUUGCGAAGCCGCGAGGCGGAGCCAAUCCAGCAAAACUUCCCUCAGUUCAGAUUGCAGGCUGCAACUCGCCUGCAUGAAGUUGGAGUUGCUAGUAAACGCAGGUCAGCCAUACUGCGUUGAAUACGUUCCCGGGGCUU
rnacentral:rRNA from 1 species